UACGAAGGGGGCUAGCGUUGCUCGGAAUCACUGGGCGUAAAGGGCGCGUAGGCGGAUCUUUAAGUCGGGGGUGAAAGCCUGUGGCUCAACCACAGAAUUGCCUUCGAUACUGAAGAUCUCGAGACCGGAAGAGGUAAGUGGAACUGCGAGUGUAGAGGUGAAAUUCGUAGAUAUUCGCAAGAACACCAGUGGCGAAGGCGGCUUACUGGUCCGGUUCUGACGCUGAGGCGCGAAAGCGUGGGGAGCGAACAGG
rnacentral:rRNA from 1 species